GUCAACGAUCAUACCAUGUUGAAAACACCAGCAGUUCUCGUCCGAUCACUGGAGUUAAGCAACAUCGGGCGCGAUUAGUUGGUACCUAGAUGGGUGACCGCUUGGAAACGUCGCGUAUAAAGAGCA
rnacentral:rRNA from 2 species